rnacentral:misc_RNA from 1 species
UCUCCGUUGGUGAACCAGCGGAGGGAUCAUUACCGAGUUUACAACUCCCAAACCCCUGUGAACAUACCAUUUGUUGCCUCGGCGGUGCCUGCUUCGGCAGCCCGCCAGAGGACCCAAACCCUUGAUUUUAUACAGUAUCUUCUGAGAAAAUGAUUAAAUAAAUCAAAACUUUCAACAACGGAUCUCUUGGUUCUG